UAGUAGUAGUAGUAGUGCUAGCACUUCCCCCAAGACUGGGUGGGAUGGGGAUCACCAACCCUGAGAAGCUGGCAGAUAAGGAGAACCAAAACUCCAUCAGCCUUACCAGGUCACUCAUCAACAGGAUCAUCGCUCAGGAGGCAGAGGGAGAGAUAGACCAAACAGAAAUAAGAGAUAUUAAAAGAAAAAUCUCAGAAGAAAGGCAACAGGCCCAAAAAGACGAGCUGGACCGUCUUACACACCACCUGUCCACAGAAAUGGGUAGAAAAAUACACACAGCACAGGAGGCAGGCGCCUCUAACUGGCUAACGUCAUUACCAAUCAGAGCAAAGGGCUUCAGCCUCAACAAACAAGAAUUUGUCGACGCCAUUGCUCUGAGAUAUGGCUGGCCGAUUGAGGGACUGCCUGAUCUCUGUGCAUGUGGAUCACCAAAUGAUGUCACCCACACCUUGACAUGUAAAAAAGGAGGCUUCGUCUGUAUUCGACACGAUGAAGUGAGGGAUCUGACAGCCAGCAUGCUCGGGGAGGUAUGCCAAGACGUCACUACCGAGCCGGCACUGCUUCCCCUGGACGGCGAACACCUUCGGUACAGGACGGCCAAUACCUCACAGGAGGCACGGGUUGAUGUAAGUGCCCGCGGAUUCUGGGUGCGCGGACAGCGGGCGUUCAUGGACAUCCGCAUAUUCGACCCGAUGGCUGCCUGUCACCGUGAGCUGCCCCUGCAAGCUGCCCACCACAGGAACGAGCAAGAGAAGACAAGGGCAUACGGUGAAAGAAUCCAACAUGUGGAUCAGGGCAGCUUCACCCCCCUCGUCUUCACCACAUCCGGCGGGAUGGGUCCCAGGGCCCAAUGCUUCUACGCACGCCUCGCGGAACUAAUCUCAGAAAAGAAGCAUCAGCCAAGGAGUCACGUUGUCGCCUGGAUGAGGUGUCGCCUCUCGUUCUCCCUGCUCAGGUCGGCCAUCCUAUGUCUCAGGGGCACCAGACACUCUGGCCCAAAAGCCACCAACAUCUCCAAUAUGGACUACGAAGCCACAGUGGUGGAGAGUGACAUUAGGGUGGGUCGGGAGUGACUUGAGUAGGGAAGGAAAGGGGGAUCUAGACGUAAUAGAUGAUAGGUGAUUUAGUGUCAGGUAGUAUUAGUAAUAUGGUUGGAUGCCACAGUCAUUAGCGAACAGAGUUGGGGCUAAUGACCUCCAAGCUAUGGAGCCCUCCAUGAUUAUGUGUCGGGAAAAUAAACAUGGGUGGAGGUAUCAUUUAUGUAGUAGAAAAAAAGAAAAAAAAAGUAGUAGUAGUAGUAGUAGUAGUAGUAGUAGUAGUAGUAGUAAAAAAUGUAGUAGUAGUAGUAGUAGUAGUAGUAGUAGUAGUAGUAGUAGUAGUAGUAGUAGUAGUAGUAGUAGUAGUAGUAGUAGUAGUAGUAGUAGUAGUAGUAGUAGUAAAAAAUGUAGUAGUAGUAGUAGUAGUAGUAAAAAAUGUAGUAGUAGUAGUAGUAGUAGUAGUAGUAGUAGUAGUAGUCUGUUAGCUUAAAAAUAAAAUGUUUAGUAAAGUUUGUAAUACUAAAUAAAGAUGGUUGUCGGCCACAGUCAUUGGCGGGGUGGGGCCAAUGAAUUGCUUUGUGAAAGGAUAUGAGAGAAUAUACCGCUCACAACGCAACUCUAAUAGAUGGAGGCCCGUAGUAGUAGUAGUAGAAAAAAAAAAGUAGUAGUAGUAGUAGUAGUAAUAACAGAAGUAGUAGCAAUAGUAGUACCAGUAGUAGCAGUAGUAGUAGUAGUAGUAGUAGUAGUAGCAGUAGUAGUGGUAGUAGUAGUAGUAGUAGUAGUAGUAGUAGUAGUAGUAGUAGUGGCAGCAGUAGUACCUUCUGUUAUCGGUCCCAGCAUGUCCUCGACACACCCGCAGAUGUGAGGAUGCGAUUCCAAGGCGAGACCGAGGUGGUCGAGAACAGCCUGUACGAGACCUUGGACAACACCCGCAGGACCGAGGUGGUCGAGAACAGCCUGUACGAGACCUUGGACAACACCCGCGGGACCGAGGUGGUCGAGAACAGCCUGUACGAGCCCUUUGAAAACGUGAGGAAGCCGCGGUGAGGAAGAAGGAAAUAGAAGAGGAGGAGGAAGAUGAGGAGCAAGCGUGAAAACAUGGGAGGGCAGGCAACAAAAAGCCUGCUGGUUCAUCACGAGGCUGCCUGCUUUAGCGACAUGUGAAUCAGCUCGUCAGCCAAUUGAGAGACCUGCGCCACAGACUGAAGCACUUUUGUACGCACGCGCGGGCACUUCGAGCUCGCCCCUGACGCAGCAGUGACGACCAGUGCGAUCUUGGAAGGAAAUUAUCGCUUUCGAGCAAACAACUUCUGCUGGAAAGCUGUUCCAGUGGCGGACGGGUCUUCG